rnacentral:rRNA from 1 species
UAGGGAAUAUUGCACAAUGGGCGAAAGCCUGAUGCAGCAACGCCGCGUGCGCGAUGACGGCCUUCGGGUUGUAAAGCGCUUUUCGGGGAGAUGAGGAAGGACAGUAUCCCCGGAAUAAGGCUCGGCUAACUACGUGCCAGCAGCCGCGGUAACACGUAGGAGCCAAGCGUUAUCCGAAUUCACUGGGCGUAAAGCGCGUGCAGGCGGCUCGGUAAGUUGGAUGUGAAAGCUCCUGGCUCAACUGGGAGAGGACGUUCAAUACUGUCGAGCUAGAGGGCGACAGAGGGAGGUGGAAUUCCCGGUGUAGUGGUGAAAUGCGUAGAUAUCGGGAGGAACACCAGUGGCGAAAGCGGCCUCCUGGGUCGCACCUGACGCUCAGACGCGAAAGCUAGGGGAGCGAAUGGG